AAACCCCGGCGCAGAAAGGAACGGCUCCUCCAUGCCCAGCCGGCACAGCUCCGGGGACUCGGCCCCUCUCCCCGCCGAUCCAGGUGUGUGUGUAACCAGCUGUGGAGAGGGGCACAUGAAGGGGCAUCAUGGAAGUACAGACUCCUCCACUGCUGCGUGCCCACCCUUCCACCCACUCAGUCCUGCCAGUGCUGAAAAAUCGUACUGGAGUCUCAGGUAGAAGCUGCGAGAAGGAGCCCUGCCCAGGGCAGACCCUUCAGCUGGCUGUGCCUGGGGUGAUCCAGGAGUCUGGGCAGAGGAGAGGACGUUUCCACCCCCAGGACGUCUGUUCCCUGCAGCAUUUCUUGUCCCACAAUGGAGAGUUUGUCAGCAAGGGGCAGUGCAGGCCUGAGGAUGCAGAAAUGUGCAGCCUGCUCGCUCUUCUCCAAGGUUAUCUAACCUACUCUUGGUUUGGAUAUUCCUUUCAAUUGGUAUUUUUGUACCCUGAGCUUCUGCAAACUUAAUUUAUGGUUUGUUAUUUCCACAGCCUAUGGAAGCAGCCAAAUGUUUGAACACAGUCCAUGGCAAACCCUGUUCCUUUCCAGGUAUUACAGCAGUUAUUGACAAGGAAAUACCCUAAACCUCACGUACUUUAGAGGAAAUGUGGAGAGUACGGCAAAUAUAUGUUCUCCUGGGCUCACAGUUAAUGGUAUAUACAUAUCUGGAUCUCAUCUGCCAGGCAGAAAAACCUCUGUAAGACAGUGUUUGCUGUGCUACAACAUGACAGUGAAAUAGGCUGAGCCUAAAUGUGGAAAUGUCCCUCUGCUGAUCUGCAGUGACUCCUCUGCCUGCAUAAGGAAAAGUAUCACAUCUUCACAAACACCCACACCUAUACAAUGGUCUGGCAUCUUCCUGCCCAUCCUGCAAAGCAAGAGGGGAGGUUGAUUUACAUCAUUUUACUGGUCACAGAAAAACAAACGACUGUGAGAGAAGGAAGGCUCCUCGCCUGUAAACAAGCGCUCAGCCCUGUCACAGCAAUGGUAUGUGGAACAAUGGGUUUCCAGCAGAGAUGGGCACAGCAGCUUUGGCGGCCCACGAGUUUUGGCUAGUUUCUGAUGCUGAGGGGAUGCUGAGUUUCAUAUUCUAAAAUGAGCUAUAAGAUGUAACAAUAACCCAUAUUGUUCUUGCAGCCCAAGGGCCUUGUACUUGUCCUCGUGAGUGGGAAAGGCAGUCAUACACAAUAAGCUGUCUCCAUUACAGAGUGUUUCCUAUUAUGUACCCGUAAGGAUUCCCUUAGUUUCCAGGGAUAUUCUUUCCAGCCUAGAAACACUUUAGGUACAAUGGAGAUUUUCUUCUAUAGUCCAAAAUCCUUUCCCUUAAAUGGGAAAAAAAAUUAUCAGGUUUCUUGGCAAAGAUCUGUAACAAGUGUUGAAAAGUGCAAAAAGAACUGAGAUACAUAGUGUGAAGUGGCAUGUGCUACUGAGAGCCCAGGAGCGUGGAAAUACUGGAAUACCAGGGAAAAAUACUGGAAGCAGACAGCAAAAUACAGUCCAAAAAUGAACCUUAAAGAGACAAGGCUCUCCUUGAAAAACCCAGGCAGAACUUGGAUGGCAACGUCAGCAGCAGCUGGGCUCCAUCAUCACAUUCUCCCUUGCUGAAAGCCCUGUUCGGAGGAGUUCAGCUGUAGCUGCCAACCUACGCUGCUGCAGGGGAGCAGGCUCUGUGUGCAGGGGGAAAGCCUUGGUAGCCACAGCUUUCCUGGCCCCUGGCCUGUACCCCCAGCACGCUCCACCAUUCACUCUUGCCCUCUACCAGCUCCUCCUCUCACCGUGGUGAAAGAAAGCCUUUCCCAAACUG